rnacentral:rRNA from 1 species
UACGAAGGGGGCUAGCGUUGCUCGGAAUCACUGGGCGUAAAGGGUGCGUAGGCGGGUCUUUAAGUCAGGGGUGAAAUCCUGGAGCUCAACUCCAGAACUGCCUUUGAUACUGAAGAUCUUGAGUUCGGGAGAGGUGAGUGGAACUGCGAGUGUAGAGGUGAAAUUCGUAGAUAUUCGCAAGAACACCAGUGGCGAAGGCGACUUCCUGGACCAAUACUGACGCUCAGGUGCGAAAGCGUGGGGAGCAAACAGG